UACGUAGGGGGCUAGCGUUGUCCGGAAUCAUUGGGCGUAAAGCGCGUGUAGGCGGUCCGGUAAGUCCGCUGUGAAAGUCGGGGGCUCAACCCUCGGAUGCCGGUGGAUACUGUCGGGCUUGAGUACGGAAGAGGCGAGUGGAAUUCCUGGUGUAGCGGUGAAAUGCGUAGAUAUCCGGAGGAACACCGGUGGCGAAGGCGGCUUCCUGGACCGACACUGACGCUGAGGCGCGAAAGCUAGGGGAGCAAACGGGAUUAGAUACCC
rnacentral:rRNA from 1 species